ensembl:lncRNA
GAGAGAGAGAGAGAGAGGGUUAGAGAAAGAGAGAGAGAGGGUUAGAGAAAGAGAAAGAGAGACAGAGAGGGUUAGAGAGAGAGAGAGAAAGGUAGAGUAAGAGAGGGUUAGAGAGAGAUAGAGAGAGAGAAAGAGAGAGAGAGAAUUUAAUUGGGAGAGGUAGAGUAAGAGAGAGAGGGAGAGAGAGUGAGAGGUAGAGUAAGAGAGAGAGAGAGGGUUACAGAAAGAGGGUUAGAGAGAGAGGGUAGAGAGAGAGAGAGAGAGAGAGAGAGGGGAGGGGUUAGAGAAAGAGGGUUAGAGAGAGAGGGUUAGAGAGAGAGAGAGAGAGAGAGGGUUAGAGAAAGAGAGAGAGAGGGUUAGAGAAAGAGAAAGAGAGACAGAGAGGGUUAGAGAGAGAGAGAGAAAGGUAGAGUAAGAGAGGGUUAGAGCGAGCAAGAGAGAGAGGGUUAGAGAGAGAGAGAGGGUUAGAGAGAGGGUUGAGAGAGAGAGAGAGAGAGGGUUAGAGAAAGAGAGAGAGAGGGUUAGAGAAAGAGAAAGAGAGACAGAGAGGGUUAGAGAGAGAGAGAGAGAAAGGUAGAGUAAGAGAGGGUUAGAGAGAGAUAGAGAGAGAGAAAGAGAGAGAGAGAAUUUAAUUGGGAGAGGUAGAGUAAGAGAGAGAGGGAGAGAGAGGUAGAGUGAGAGGUAGAGUAAGAGAGAGAGAGAGGGUUACAGAAAGAGGGUUAGAGAGAGAGGGUUAGAGAGAGAGAGAGAGAGAGGGGAGGGGGAGAAAGAGGGUUAGAGAAAGAGGGUUAGAGAGAGA